CAUUAAAUAGCUUAAAGCAAGCACUGGUCUCUUAAACCAAACUAUAAUAGAUUAGCACCUAUUUUUAAUGG
rnacentral:tRNA from 1 species